UACGGGGGGGGUAAGCGUUGUUCGGAAUUACUGGGCGUAAAGGGCUCGUAGGCGGCCAACUAAGUCAGACGUGAAAUCCCUCAGCUUAACUGGGGAACUGCGUCUGAUACUGGAUGGCUUGGAUUCGGGAGAGGAAUGCGGAAUUCCAGGUGUAGCGGUGAAAUGCGUAGAUAUCUGGAGGAACACCGGUGGCGAAGGCGGCAUCCUGGACCGAUAUUGACGCUGAGGCGCGAAAGCCAGGGGAGCAAACGGG
rnacentral:rRNA from 1 species